UCAAGACCAUCAGAUAUCUUGACAGACUUUUGGUAUGCGGUGGAAAACCAUGGGCGUACCGGAAGGAAAAAUUUAAGGGGGCGGAAAGAAAAUUGCCCGACUUUUCGCGGAUUGUGCCCGACUAGUACCGAAAAUUUUUUUUCGGAAAAUUAUUUUGGCGACCCCCCCCCCGUCGCCAAAAAAAUUUCGGUCAGUGUACCAUUUUAG